rnacentral:rRNA from 1 species
AUACGUAGGUGGCAAGCGUUGUCCGGAAUUAUUGGGCGUAAAGCGCGCGCAGGUGGUUCCUUAAGUCUGAUGUGAAAGCCCCCGGCUCAACCGGGGAGGGUCAUUGGAAACUGGGGAACUUGAGUGCAGAAGAGGAUAGUGGAAUUCCAAGUGUAGCGGUGAAAUGCGUAGAGAUUUGGAGGAACACCAGUGGCGAAGGCGACUGUCUGGUCUGUAACUGACACGGAGGCGGGAAAGCGUGGGGAGCAAACAGGAUGAGAUACCCUGGUAGUCCACGCCGUAAACGAUGAGUGCUAAGUGUUGGGGGGUUUCCGCCCCUCAGUGCUGCAGCUAACGCAUUAAGCACUCCGCCUGGGGAGUACGGUCGCAAGACUGAAACUCAAAGGAAUUGGCGGGG